AGCUCCGUAUCACCUUGGAUCAAGCCAUCAUUGGGAUAGUAGUAAGUGCAAUAGUCAUGGACCCAUUUCUCGAUUGCUGACCAAAUUUCAAGUCCGUCAACAGCAUAUGGAUAGUCUUCAAUCAGUAGGCGAAGUCCAUGAGAAGACAUUUCCAUGGAGAAUUUUGCAGGAAAGACUGUGUUCUCGAGAACACCACCAGCAUUGAUGAGAAUCUGUCUAGCCAGGGCAUUUAUAUUCAUCGUGUCUCGGAAAUGAGGAUGUAGGAGUUUGUGAAUUGGGUGAAGCACGCUCAAUUGCCUGUUUGUUGCAAUAACGAAUGGCUCGAUCGCUGCGUGUGUGUUUAACCUGCAACAACAAAGAAUUAAAAUCAUCAUGGAAACGAUACAUACUUACUACUACAUGCUUCAAAUAUCACCACAGGGUCUUACCAGUGGCUGAUGAGUUGAUGAACACCAGAGUCAUUCACAGCUGCAUAAGCUUUUGCCAGUUGCCAGAUUGAACCCUCAACACCUUCUUCUGCUGGUGUGAAGAUUUUACUAACAGCACCAUGUUGUUCUCCUUGUGAGUGUGGUAAGCUCAGCUCAAUUGCUAAAGGCUUUAGAGUUCCAUCAUCUUUCAGGAAGAGGAGUGUUCUCGAGGCAUACAUUUUGGUCGAAGUUGUAUUUAUCCGGUUCAGGUGCUCGACCAGUUUUUCCUCUUCGAGGGUAAGGGUACUCAGUGGAUCCUCCUAGAACAGGACGUGCAUAUUUUGGGCCCUUGUCAGGAUCACCCAAGUCAUUGUAAAAUGCGUAGUCAUAAACUCUGUCCCAUUCCUUGAGCUCCCCUGUUCCAUCUCCUCUAAGAUUUAUCAACUCAUCUUGUCUGUACUUACGUAAUGGCUCUGGCGUAUUGUGCGGAAGGUGAUUAAAACCAUCCAUGAUGCAGUUCUGAAUGCGGAAUCUCUUACUGAAAGGGCGGAGGAUUUAUAUUGCGAGAGACUGAGGUCGUUAACUCUUUGGCUAUGAUGAUAAUAACUAGUAAGUUAGUAACUGGUGGAAAAGUUUAACCGGACAAUCUUAUGGAACUAAUUUUAGUGAGUUUUUCGGUUUCUACCCGAAACAUCAGCGGCGCAGAUGUAGCCAAUUUGUGUUUUUUCCAAAGUCAUUCUGAGCUCUAUUAGCUUUAACCUUCUUAGAUCAUGUCAACUUCUACUUUUAUGAGAAAUUAAAAAGGACAAGUUUUACGUCA